rnacentral:rRNA from 1 species
GAUAGAAAGUUACUUCGGUACAUCGGUGACAGGUGGUGCAUGGUUGUCGUCAGUUCGUGUCGUGAGAUGUUGGGUUAAGUCCCGCAACGAGCGCAACCCCUAUUGUUAGUUGCCAUCAUUCAGUUGGGCACUCUAGCGAGACUGCCGGUAAUAAACCGGAGGAAGGUGGGGAUGACGUCAAAUCAUCAUGCCCCUUAUGACCUGGGCUACACACGUGCUACAAUGGUUGGUACAACGAGUUGCGAGUCGGUGACGGCGAGCUAAUCUCUUAAAGCCAAUCUCAGUUCGGAUUGUAGGCUGCAACUCGCCUACAUGAAGUCGGAAUCGCUAGUAAUCGCGGAUCAGCACGCCGCGGUGAAUACCGGUUCCCGGGCCUU